GAAUCUAUUUCUGUGAGGACUACUUGUUCCAUAUAUUAGGUGAUCUUCAUGUUGGAUGUUAACAUUUAUUUUGAGAUUGUUUCAAGCUCAGGGUAAUAUUCAUUACAUAGUAGCUGUCAUUGUAUUGUUUGUUCAAGAUAGUGUAUAAGGCACUUUCUCUAGCGAGUAAACAUUAGGGGGUCUGGCCAGCUUUCUUUUGUUUACUCUCCCCAUGAGUUGGGAGACACAUUUGUUGCAUGUAUCGCCGGGUAGUAAAUUUGCGGAUCACUGACAGUUACAAAUUGUUAUUUGCAAUGCUCAGUUGCUCACCCUUACCUAAUGAGUUUUGAGAAGUUCAGGGGGAAGUAUGUAGCUGAGAUAUAAUAUACUGAGUGUGAACAUUCUCAAAACUGUAUUGUAUAUAGUUUAUUUUUUUAUUGUGUAAAUGUAAUUUUUGUAAAACUGAGGUUCCACAUGUCACUGUUGAAGUGGGGCGUUAAUCAGUGUGACACCACUUGUAAACAUGCUGCAUGUGUGGGGGUUCCCAGCCAGAGCUGCAUGGACUCCACACUGGGAUGAGCAGAGGUGUGCUGUUGCUGUGUGACACUGAUUUUGCUGCUCCACUUUGUGUUUUAGAAAUAAAUCCAGUUUCCAGCCAGUCUGUGUCUGUCGUCACAACGCAGUCAACCGUUUGAAAUCUGCUACAGAUCCAGGGGUCCGUUCUUCGUACCUCGCUAAGUAAGUUAGCUGGAUUUGAUUGUUGACGAUUUCGCGUGAUCUUGGAUCAUUCGGUUCUCCGAAGCUCAUCCGGGACUUGCUGCCAUA